GAAUCUCUUAUUGGGAAAGCUAAUCAUUAAUUAGAAAAUUGGCGUGCUUUCCAUCGAUAAACAGGAAGCAAAUAAUUUUUUUAGGGUCAGCAAAUGAUUUCUUUGGGAAUGUGCAGACACGUCAUUUAGAUUUGAGAUUUCCUAAGCUGAGGCAAGCUAGACAUUUGACAAUAUAACAGCUGAAAAAUAAACUUAAAAAGUAGAAAAAUAAUUAUCACAAAAAAAGUAGAAAAAAAAAGAAGUACAGAAGGAAAGAAACAGGGACGAGUUGUUUCCUUUUUGUCUCAGAUUUUUACCAUUCGUUUCGAGAACUGAAACUUGUGAGGUAUGCCUAGCAAUCACCGAGCAUAAAUAGAGCCGAUUCUUGUUAGCGUGCAUCAAGGAGAAGAAUUUUCUCUCCGUCUCGAAAGCAAGCGAAGCGAUGGAGGCGACGAGGGACACGACGCGGUCCUGCUCCGGCGGCCAGGCGGCGCUCGCUGCCAGCCUCGCGAGCCGCCUGGCCGACGACAACGCGGACAACAACCUGGUGCUCUCGCCGCUGUCCAUCUACGCGGCGCUCGCGCUCCUGGCCGCCGGCGCGCGGGGCGCCACCCUUGACGAGAUCCUCGGCGUCCUCGGCGCGCCGUCUCGCGCCGCGCUCGACGAGUUCGUCUCCCGCGUGGCGGGGGACGCGCUCAAGUGUUGGCGCCGCCUCGCGCGACACCGCUUUUUUUCUACCUCUUGCCUCACAUAAGAAGAAACUCCACACCCACACCCACUCACACAUGCACUAAGGAAGAACGCACAAGCUUUGCCAAGAGGCUUCCUUGAUGAUCACAGGUGGCUACAUUAUUUCUCCAGCCCUCACGGCUUCUUUUCUUCUCAUUUAUCUGAUCACGCAGCUCGGCAACAAGCUGACCCACUACUCAUGCACUAACCCACUAUCACGUUCAACAGCCACACUCAGCCACCAGCACGUACAGACGCAUGACCCGGCCAUCACUACCGGCCACUAACAAACUCACCCAUGAAGCUAGCUAACCACUUACAUGCAUCUAACCAAUCCAUCCAGCCUUAUCUUUCUUCUACAAUCUCUCUAGAAAUCACGACUUGGCCAUGUGACUUGUCGCCUUCGACUUUCAGACUUAGCAUGCAACACAGCCUCACGCGGCAGUGAACACCUCGCCAUGCACGCCGCUGCGUCCCGCCCUCCCACGCGUAUCCGACGCGCCCGACUGUAUCAGUGCGUCCCGCACGUCUCACACGCGCCCGACAAACUCAGCUGCACCAGACAUCGUAGCUUAUUCCAACACACACCCCCUAAGCCAUGCCUCAAAGGUGCCCGUCAUCUUCGACUCCGACGAUGUCCGCCAGCAGCGCGCGCUCCGCCGCCGUCGUCGUCGUGGUUGUUGUAGCCGCCACCGCCCUGACGUCGUUGCCACACGCCUCUGGCACGAGCCGCCGCUCGCUGCCGCUGCAGCAGCCUGCAGUCCCAUGCGUCGCUGCGCCGCGUCUCCGUGCCAUGCACCUCCAUGGUUGUCGCGCCGAGCCGCCGCGAACUCUGCGUCACCACGCAGGUCCUUCGCGACCUUCUCGUCUCCGCGACCGCCGUGCCCUUCGCGCGCACUCCCCACGUCCCCGCGCUCCCGGCCCGUGCUCCCGCCGCGCACGUACGCGAUCCCCGACGCGGUCCACUCCCGCGGUCCCGACGCGCCCGACGCGUCCAGUGCGCACCCAUAACACGCAACGGUCGCGCUCGGCUCGCUACCGCGGCUUAUUCGCCAUGCACCGCUGAGGCCUCAACCGCAGCGCAGCACCUCCGUGCUCACCGCGAACUUGCCACACGCCGCCGUCGCCACGCGCUUGCCCCGCACCGCAGCCUCCAUGUCGGCCGCGCUCGCCGUGGACGCCACCGCGUACCAUGGACGCCGCCACACGUCACGGCCGCCCCUCGAACCUGGUCGCUCUGAUACCAAUUGUUGGCGCCGCCUUGCGCGACACCGCUCUUCUUCUACCUCUUGCCUCACACAAGGAGAAACUCCACACACACCCACUCACACAUGCACCAAGAAAGAACACACAAGCUUUGCCAAGAGGUUCUCUUGGUGAUCACACGAUGGCUACAUUGUUUCUCCAGCCCUCACGACUUCUUUUCUUCUCAUUCAUCUGAUCACGCAGCUCGGCAACAAGCUGACCCACUACUCAUGCUGCUCAUGCAUGACUCCAUGCACUAACCCACUACCACGUUCAACAGCCACACUCAGCCACCAGCACGUACAGACACAUGACCCGGCCAUCACUACCGGCCACUAACAAACUCACCCAUGAAGCUAGCUAACCACUUACAUGCAUCUAACUAAUCCAUCCAGCCUUAUCUUUCUCCUACAAUCUCUCUAGGAAUCACGACUUGGCCAUCUGACUUGUUGCCUUCGUCUUUCAGACUUAGCAUGCAACACAGCCUCACGCGGCAGUGAACACCUCGCCAUGCACGCCGCUGCGUCCCGCCGUCCCGCGCGUAUCCGACGCGCCCGACUGCACCAGUGCGUCCCGUACGUCCUGCGCGCGCUCGACGAGCCCGGCUGCACCAGAUGUCGUGGCUUAUUCCAACAUCAAGGAUCACUCCGUGUCCGGCGGGCCGCGCGUCGCGUUCGCGCAUGGCGUGUGGACCGACCUCGCGUGCCCGUUGAAGCCAGCCUACCGCCACGCCGCCAUGAGCAUGUACAAGGCCGAUGCCAGCACCGUCGACUUCCGCAACAACCCGGAGGCGGCACGGGGUCAGAUCAACGCGUGGGUCGCGCAGGCCACGAGGAACUUGAUCGGCUCCGUCCUUGGCCCGGGAUCCAUAACGCCGCUCGCCCGCGCCGUGCUCGGCGACGCCAUGUACUUCAAGGGCAAGUGGGAGAAGCCCUUCGACAAGGAGGACACUGCCAACAAACCCUUCCACCGGCUCGACGGCCGCACGUCGACGUGCCCUUCAUGAAGAGCUGGAGUUCGCAGUUCAUCGCCGUGCACGAAGGGUUCAAGGUGCUCAAACUCCGGUACCGAAUGGCUCAAGCGCAAGGGUGGCGCGCCGAUCGGAACAAGCGUACGCAGUUUUCUAUGUGUAUCUUUCAUCCACAAGGCGGUCAUUGAGGUAAAUGAGGAAGGCACUGAAGCUGCAGCCUCCACAUUGAUGCAUCGUAGAGCUGGAUGUAGUGCAAUACCGCCACCGCCACCUCCUCGGGUGGAUUUCGUAGCUGACCAUCCGUUUGCGUACUUUAUAGUGGAGGAGGUGACCGGCAUAGUUGUCUUUGUGGGACACGUCCUUGACCCUUCUAAUGAGGAGUAGGUCAUCUCAUGCUCAUGAUUUUGAUUUGAUUUUAGUUUUUGCAAAUGUCGAUUUUGUUUUGAUUUGGGUCCCAGUUGGCAUAAUAAUAAUGAUGUAGUUUCAUGUUA